rnacentral:rRNA from 1 species
GAUGAACGCUAGCGGCAGGCCUAAUACAUGCAAGUCAAGGGGCCAGCAAUGGCACCGGCGGACGGGUGCGUAACGCGUACACAACGUACCUCUGACAGGGGGAUAGCAUUGGGAAACUGGUGGUAAUACCCCAUAGUAUUGCUGAGAGGCAUUUCUUGGCGAUUAAAGUUUCGGCGGUCAGAGAUCGGUGUGCGUCCGAUUAGCUAGUUGGCGGGGUAACGGCCCACCAAGGCGACGAUCGGUAGGGGGUGUGAGAGCAUGACCCCCCCACAUGGGUACGUGAGACACGGACCCAACCUACCUACGGGAGGCAGCAGUAAGGAAGU